rnacentral:lncRNA from 1 species
UUACACGAUAAAAGAGUUUAAUAGUUUACAUCUGUCCAAAUAAGUUGAGAAACUAAAAAACAGACGGGGAAGGAUCUGUCCUUUAUAAAAGCCCCAAUGUCAGGAGGAGGAGAAGGAUUCUUCUCAUCAGCAUGAAAUAGAAAAAUACACUUUAUAUAGAGGUGUAUCUCACGAACAUUUCUAUGCACACACUGUGGAAGGUGAGAGGUAACAGUCACUAGGAGAGACACAUGAGGGAGGUGGGUCUGGUCACCAUGAUGCCCUUCUGGAAUGAGGUAAGUGAGGUUCAGAUGAGAAAAGCCAAUGUUUGGGAGCCAAAUUGAUUCUUUUUUACAUUCAGAUUUGUCCUGAAGUUCCUAAGUGAGAAAAUGCCUGCUUGGGUUUACCAGAACCUUCCCAUCAGCUGUGUUUUGACCUUAAAUACGGGAGAGUUAGGUGACAUUGAGGAAGAAAUUCUCUACUGUGAGGGUGGUGGGACACUGGCACAGGGUGCCCAGAGAAGCUGUGGCUGCCCCAUCCCUGGCAGUGUUCAAGGCCAGGUUGGACACAGGGGCUUGGAGCAACCUGCUCUAGUGGAAGGUGUCCCUGCCCGGGGCAGGGGUUGGGGCUGGAGGAGCUUUAAGGUCCCUUCAACCCAAACCAGUCUGUGAUGAUUCUAUGAUUCUAUGAUGCUGGUUUGAGUAACAAGGCUCAAUACAAUCCUUCUACACCCUGAUUAAGGAAACCAUGCAAGCUAGGACAAGACUAGAAAAGCAAGCAGCAGUAGCACCGUAUGUGUUAAGGAGCAGAAGCUAACAGCAAUGGUAAAUGCACUCUGCAACAACAGCAACAGCUUCUCCACCCCCCCUCGGAAGUGGGCAGCAUCACGAGUGCAGAGUCAUGAGGCUGCUGAGCAUUUCCUGUGUGCAGUGCUCCAACGUGUCCUACUUUAGGCAAUGAGUAGUAAACAAGAAGAUGCUGUGAAGGCAGAUGCACCCUGGUACAACUCCUCAUCUUCCUUCAGCUCUUUCUGAGGUCAAGCCUCCAUCCCACGCAAUUUGAACAGAAUAAGAUCUCCUCACAACAAGCUGUUUGGCUGGUUGUGAUGUCCAAACCAGAGAAGCCAAGAGCCACAUUCCUGAAUCACGAACCCGCACUGUACU